GCGCACGGGUGAGUAACACGUGGGUAAUCUGCCCUUGAGUUUGGGAUAACCCCGCGAAAGCGGGGCUAAUACCGAAUAAGACCACGGGGACCAAAGUCCCUGAGGUAAAAGGUGGCCUCUAUUUAUAAGCUACCACUUGAGGAUGAGCCCGCGGCCCAUUAGCUAGUUGGCGGGGUAACGGCCCACCAAGGCUAUGAUGGGUAGCUGGUCUGAGAGGACGAUCAGCCACACUGGAACUGAGACACGGUCCAGACUCCUACGGGAGGCAGCAGUGGGGAAUAUUGCGCAAUGGGCGAAAGCCUGACGCAGCAACGCCGCGUGGGGGAUGAAGGUUUUCGGAUUGUAAACCCCUUUCGACCGGAACGAAUCUCCUCCUGGUAAAUAAUCAGGAGGAUCGACGGUACCGGGAGAAGAAGCCACGGCUAACUCUGUGCCAGCAGCCGCGGUAAGACAGAGGUGGCGAGCGUUGUUCGGAUUUAUUGGGCGUAAAGCGAACGCAGGUGGUUUGGUAAGUCAGGGGUGAAAUCCCACAGUUUAACUGUGGUACUGCCUUUGAUACUGCCUUUCUUGAGUGCAUGAGGGGGAAGCGGAAUUCCGAGUGUAGAGGUGAAAUUCGUAGAUAUUCGGAGGAACACCGGUGGCGAAGGCGGCUUCCUGGCAUGUAACUGACACUCAUGUUCGAAAGCGUGGGUAGCAAACAGGAUUAGAUACCCUGGUAGUCCACGCCCUAAACGAUGGGCACUAGGUGUGGGAGGUAUCGACCCCUUCCGUGCCGCAGCUAACGCAUUAAGUGCCCCGCCUGGGGAGUACGGCCGCAAGGUUGAAACUCAAGGAAUUGA
rnacentral:rRNA from 1 species